rnacentral:lncRNA from 10 species
UGGACACAAACCAAACUCCAGGAGCAGGAGGCCUCCAGUGGUAUGCUGAGUUGAUCACGACCCUCAUACUUUCAGCCUUCAACACCCCAACACUCCUUAUCUAGGAGCCAGGGUGAAGAGCACAGCCCCACCGUUCAUGGAUCCAUGUCCAAAAGGGAAAAAACAGCCAGCUGUUCAAAGAAGCCCAGUUCUCCUGAGGUUGAGAUCACACAAAAUUCACCCAAAAUUCCGGAAUGUCUGGCCUUGGACAAAUCAUUUUAACUCUGGAGGCUCAAUUUCCUCAUCAAUCAAAAGAAAAUGAUACAUUUACAGAAUGACUACAAGGGUCCCAGCUACUCAGGAGGCUGAGGCAGGAGAAUGGCGUGAACCCGGGAGGCGAGGCUUGCAGCGAGCCGAGAUCGCACCACUGCACUCCAGCCUGGGCAACAGAGCAAGACUCCAUCUUAAAAAAAAAAAAAAAGAAUGACUACAAGGAAGAGCAAAAUUACAAAUAUCAAUGCAUUAUAAAGCCAUAAUAAUUAAAAUAGUGUGGUAUCAAUUAACUCAGGAAUAUACAGCUAGAUCAAUAGAAUUGAAUAGAAUGACCCAUGCAUAUAUUGAAAUAAAGCGUAUUAAAAUGUUGGCAUUUUCAACCAUCAGAGAAAGGAUAAAUGAUGCAAUAAACAGCUCACUACAUGACGAUGGAGUACUUGGGUAUCCAUACAAAAAAAAAAAAAUUACAUGCUCACCUAAGUGGUAACAAGAGAAAUGAAAAGUAACAGUAAGAUAUUGUUCUCCCAUAUCACACACAAAAAUGUCAGUCACUAUCAGGAGUUGGCUUGGUUCAUAGGUAAACAGGUCCCUAGUGGUUGGCAUAUACAUGGUUACAUCGAUAUAUAGAGUGAAUUCUGUCAGUCUCUAGUAAAACAGAACAUGUGCUGGACCAUUCACCUAGGAUGUCACCUCUGGGAGCCUGUGCUCGAGAAGAAUGGGUGAACAGGAUGCUGUCUCAGUGCAGUGACUGAGAACAGCUGAAAUGCCCAACAGGAAGGGAGUGGGUUGUUGAAGUGGCUUAAAUCUGUGUGUAUCAAUAGCAAAUGCCAAGCUGGGUGCAGGGGCUCAGGCCUGUAAUCCCAGCACUUUGGGAGGCUGAGGCAGGCAGAUCACAUGAGGUCAGGAGUUCAAGAUCAGCCCGGCCAACAUAGUGAAACCCCGUCUCUACUAAAAAUAAAAAAAUUAGCUGUGUGUGGUGGUGUGUGCCUGUAAUCCCAGCUACUCAGGAGGUUGAGGCAGGAGAAUCACUUCAACCCAGGAGGUGGAGGUUGCAGUGAGCCAAGAUCGCCCCACUACACUCUAGCCUGGGUGACAGAGCAAGACUCUGUCUCAUAAAAAUCAAACAAAAAAAAAAUCAAAAUACCAAUUGCAAGAAACAAAAAAAAGCAAAUUGCAGAGCAAUGCAUAUAACUAUAAUGUUAAAA